UCCAGUAACAGUGCCACCUCCAUCUUUGCCU
rnacentral:piRNA from 1 species